rnacentral:rRNA from 1 species
AUGUCAAAUCAUCAUGCCCCUUACGUCUAGGGCUACAGGCGUGCUACAAUGGCCAAUACAAAGAGAUGCAAUAUCGUAAGAUGGAGCCAAUCUCCAAAGUUGGUCUCAGUUCGGAUUGAGGUCUGCAACUCGACCUCAUGAAGCUGGAAUCGCUAGUAAUCCUGAAUCAGAAUGUCAGGGUGAAUACGUUCCCGGGUGUU